AAUGAUUUAAAUUCUAAAUAUUUGGAAUGAGUACCCUAAUUAAAUAUUUAGGGUGAGACCAAUUGAAAAUGAUUGGACUAUGUAAAUAUUACAUAGCCCAAAGGAAUUAAAUAAAAUGUCCAAGUGUUGGCCAAUUAUGGAAGGACAUUUUAGUCAUUUAGGAAGUAAAUUAAAUUAAGCCCACUUGGAUGAUUUGGAGGCCACUUGGCCGAAUUUUUUCAAAAAAAAAAAAAGAGAGAUAAGGUUGCUAGAAUAAAAGAGAAAGAAAAAGAAAAGAUAAGGAUUAGAUGAGAAAGGGAGAGAAAGAAGAAAUGGGAGGAAGAGAGGGAGAGAAAAGGGAAGUGGCCGAAGCCCUUGUGUGGGAAGAGGAGGAGAUGGAAGGAUCUCCAUGAAGAAGAAGGAAGAAGGAGAAGAAAAGAAAGGUAUAACAUCUCUCUCUAAUCUCUUUCUAUGGAAUUUUUAUGAAAGGGGGUUUUGAUUUGGAUGUUCAAACCCUUAAGAUCUAUGUGUUUUCUAUGGAUUUAUGUAUGGAUUUACUCAUUUUUGAUGUUGAUUUGGGUGAAUCAAAAGAAUAAAGAAAAUUUAUUUUCUAGUUUUGAAUCCGAAAUUUCCUAGUACUUUGAAAUUUCACCGUUUUAAAUCUAUGACUUCUUUUUGCGAUCCGUCAAAAAGGGAUGUUAGAUAUAUGUGUUUAGUAGUUAACCCAAGUGGUAGUACUCAAAAAUGUUGAGUUUACAUGGGGUAGUGACUGAUUUGGUGAAAACAGUUCCGUUUUUAUAACCAAAAAUGGGCAGAUUCGGGGCAGUCAGUAGCGAGGGCAAUUUCGUCCAGUUUUUGUGCUUUAAAAAUUCUGGGCUUUUGGUAUGUUGUAGUACUCUGAUUUAGCUUUCCAUAGACUCCGGAACGGACUAAUUCCGAUUCCGGAUGAGGUAGUUAUGGCGUUCGGGAGAUGUGUAUCAAAACUGUUAAUCAAAUUCCGAACAGCCACCUUUGUGUAAAUUUCUGGACUGAUGUGUUAUGAUUUUGGAAAAAUGUCGUGAGACAAAAGUUGUAGCCCUGGAAGUUAUCUUCGCGUGGGCUCAAGAAUCGCUCAAAAAUGUUUUAAAACGCGAGAGUUAUGGCUGUUUUAGUGAGGCUGGGUAAAAAUUUUAAAAAAAAUCAAAAGUGUCCAAAAAUAGGAAAAAUGCGAUGUAUGAAGUGAGACCCGUGAGCAUGGCGUAUGCAAGUUUGUAAUGAAGUUUUGGGUCGGGUUUAAGGUGUUGUGAUGUUUAUGACAUUUUAAAAUGUUUAAACAAGUUUAUUAAUUACGGGAAGGAAAACAAUUGAAAUAAUUGUUUAUUUAAGUGAUUAAUGACAUAAAUUAUUUUUAUGUGACUAAUAAUAUGGUAUUGAGAUAUUAUUAGUAGUAUGUGACUGGAAUGUUAUUAAAAGGUUAGUAACCUUAGCGUAAAAUAUUAUUACAUAAUUAAUAAUAUUUGACGGGAGAUUUAAUAAGAGAUUUAUGAUAUUUUUCAAUGUAAUUGUUGAAAUUGAUAUUCAAUGAAGUAUAUUAUGUGUUUGGGCAUAUGAUAGAGAAAUAAUAAGUCAUAAUAAUCUAAUAAAGUCUUAUGGUGCGAAAUUUGACUAUAAGUAAUAUUUUAUGCCGAGAAACUUUCUUUCAGGCAUAAAUAAAGCAAUAAAAAUAUGUAAUAAAUAUAAAUUACAUAUUUAAGCGAAAAAUAUAUAUAUAUAUAUAUAUAGUUGCCUAUAAAAAUUAUUUUGUGGUGGAACAAAGAAUGUAAAACCUUUGAAAUAUUGUAUUAAUCAUAAAAAUGAUAUUUUGAGGUUUUCGGUGCUCAAAAUGAAGUUUUUGAGCUGAGAUUUACGUAACGAAGCAAAAAUGCGAAUAAUCGUAAAAUGAAAAAUAAAGCGAAUGUGCUAGUGAGAUAAAAUGUUUAUAUAUGAGGCAAUAGUCAGUGUUGACUCAUGAACGGACAAACUGAAGUAAAAGUUAUUUAAAGUGAAGAAAUAAUAUAGUAAAUUGAUUUUUACUAUAAAAGCUAUACAUUAGCUGUUUAAACUCCGAAUUUGCGAGUAGAGGUAAAAGAUAUUUCUGAAAUGAAAUUUAAAUGGUUUAAGUUUCAAGAUGUAAAGUAUUUGCAUCUUAAAAUGUGUGAGACCUUUAUUAUUUAUGAAACAAGUAAAAUAUUAUUACAUGAUUAAUAAUAUUAGAAGGUGAUUACAAUAUUAUUAAAUGAUUAAUAAUAUUAGUAAAGGAUUUAAAUAUUAUUAAAUGAUUAAUAAUAUUUGUAAAUGAUAAAUAUUCUAUAAAAAGAAUAUUAGGCAAAAGUUUAAGAUAAUGGAUAAGUGAUAGUAAUAUUAUUAAGGGAUAAUAAUAUUACUAAUGAGUUAAAGAAUUAUUUAAUGUUUAAUUAUGUGGCUAAAUGUUAGCUAAUUUAUUAUUUGAGUAAUAGUGUUGUGGGAUAAAAUGUAUUAUGCUAAUUGGAGGAUCGAUCUUAUUAAUGAUAGGUCUUUUAUAAGAGAUUAAAUUGAUUGCUUAGCGGUAAUCAACGGUACAGGCAAGUUCCUAAACUUGAACUUCUAAUUAUUGUGCAAGUUUCCUAACUCAACUUGAGUUAAUUCAAAGCAUGUUAGUGGUUAAUUAUUGUUGAUUAUACCACGUCAAUAAUUUAUUGAUUCGCACAUUGUGCAUGUUGUUUAUGUUCAUCAGGUAUGAAAGGCUGAUCACCUUCAUUACCAUAGGUUUCAGUUAAACUUGUUCAUGUUAAUUGUUGACAUCCAAUAUCAUUGGUUCAGUCAUUCAAUCAUUGAAACUUGAUUCAUGUUAUUUCACAAUUAUUAUAUUGUUGAAAACUUGAAAGCUUAUUCAUUCUUUUCAAUCAUGAUAUAUCUCCAUUGUAUGUAAAACUUGCUGGGCAAAUUUGUUGCUCACCCUUGCUAUAUCAUGAUAAAAUUUUCAGAUUAAGAUGAAGGCUUGAAUAAGGACAGAGGCAAAGACAAAGUGCAAAGUUUUUUUUUAUGUUGCAGUUAGAUUUAUUAAAUUUUCUGACGAAAAUAGUAUUGUAAACCUUUUUAAUAUUGAAGGUAUGUAUUAAGUUAAGGUUGUAGACCUUGGGACUGAUGUGUAAAGUUUAAUGUAUAAACAAUGUAUGUUUAUAUCUUCCGCAAUAGUUAUAGAAAUAGCGUACCGGAUCCGCGGCGAUUUGGGACCCGGAUUCGG
rnacentral:lncRNA from 1 species